AGCUGCUGCUGGAGAACUCACUGAAGAUGACUCAGGUCUCCUGGAGCGCAGACUUGCCUCUAACUCCCUAUGCAGCUAAGGAAUGACUUUGGACUUCUGAUACAUCUCGCUGCCACCCAGAUGGCACAUGUGUACUACCGCGCCUGGAUCCAAGCUUUUCUUUACCUGAAAUCCUGAAAUUUGCUCUGUACCAGGCUGGCCUUGAAUUCAGAUCUGCUUGCCUGUCUCCUUGGAUUAAAGAGACCAGCUGGUCAACAAAGGAAGUUUCAGGCCAACCAAUGCCACACAGGAGACCCUGUCUCAAGGAGGUGAGAGGCAAUAAACUGUAUCUUACUUAGUGGCCCUACAUGACUCCAAAAUGCAGCC